AACUGGUAUUGAGUUGUGACUGUGGCGAUGCCUUAAUCAUAUCCUGAAGUACAGUUUCGGGUCUUUCUAUCGAUUGCAAAGUAUCAUACAAGUAUAAAAAAUAUUUUAAAAUUGCCUUCAUAGUUUUUUUUAACUGCAGGUAAGACAUUUACGUUUAACAAAUCAUGUUUUAUUUAUUUUUUUUUGCAGUUUUCCAGGUUGCUAUGGUGGCAUUAUUGCAUAGAUGAGAGACCAUCCAUGAUUCAUAAACAACAUCGACUGACGUGGUUUCAGAUUUGGAGCAGGAAGGGUGACCGUGUGUACAUACAGAUCAUGGACUAAGGUAUUGUCAGAUCUGGAGCAUAAAUGGUGUGUAUGUUUUCAUAUUUUCUUUGUCUGGAAUGUUUAAGGUACCCCUAGAAUUAAUAUAUGUUUCUGUUUUUACACAUAGCGUUAUGUUUUUUUCCUAAAUACUAAAAUGGGUAGCCACGGAAACAUACGUCUAGGCAAUGAAAUAAAUAGAUGACAGCUCUUCAGAUGUACAAUGUUAUCCAGCAGAUCUUGGAAAAUACAGGGAGUGUACAUGUAUGUUUACUUUUUAUUUUUUGUGGCAACACUUUGAUACAUUCGUUUUUGUUUUACAUAUGCCUUUUUUAUCUAUACACACAACUGCAACAGGGGCUCCAUGGAAACGUGUCUCUACGUCUAGGAAUUGGUAUAAUGGGUGACCAACGUUCAGAGUUUGGAACAUAUAGGAUAUAGGGUUUGUAUGUUUACUCUUUUUUUUGUGGCAACAUUUGGAUAUAUUUGUUUUUUUAUUUUACACAUGCCUCUCUGUAUCUAUACAUUCAACAGGAUAACCAUGGAAACUAACAUCUACAUCUAGACAAAGGUUCAAGCAGCAGUGAGAGAAAUCCUGCAACCGGCAAACGCUUAGCUUUAAGUAAUCUAAGUUUUGCUAGGACCUGUAAAUGAAUUCAGGCAAAACUUGAAUAUAAACAAACAUCUGGAUAAUAGGUGGCUUAUUGAAUUAUUGAAAACCCAAUCUACCUUGUAUGUUUUUGCUGCGGAAUUCUUGGUGUUUGCUGUUUGCUGUUUUGUCAGGCUUUUGUUUACAAUGGCUACUUGGUGGUGAUUGUGGUGUUGUUUGUGUGUUUAUGGUGGUUGUUUUGGUGUUUGUGGUGGUUGUUUUUGUGUUUGUGGUGGUGGUUUUGGAGCUUGUGGUUGUGGUUUUGGUGUUUGUGGUGGUGUAUUCCAUGUGAUCUUCUCGGUUGUAUUCGAUUUCGAUAAUGUUUUCGUUGUUUUGUUAAUAUAGGCUUUUGAUGCGAAUUGUUUGUCGCAUUGGGUUCUUAAUCUUUCGUUCCGUUCCAAGAUGAUUUUCUUUCUGCCAUUAGGAAUACAUUAUAACUAGAUUUAUUGAUGUACACAAAUACUGCGCUGUGAUUAAUUUGUUUUACGUUUCCCAUCAGUUCUAGAUAGCUGCAAAGACAUGUCAUGAAAUUUGCAGACGACAGAUAUGGGGUGCAUGCGAGAUCUGGGUUGAACUCGCGAAAGCUGCAAAGACAUGCCAUGAAAUAUGCAGACGACAGACAUGCGGUGCAGACGAGAUCUGGAUUGAACGCGCGAAAUUGUUUUAUUUCUGCGUUUUACUCUUUUUGCUUUGUAUUUCUUUUUUCUACUAGAAUGCUGGGGUAUGUAUACUUGAAGAAAAAAGACGCAGAUGGACAUGGAGAUGCAGACCAAGCAAAAUGUGCGUUUCUCUUUAUGAUGAACAGGUAUGUAUAUUGCUACUUCUGUUAUCCUUUUUUUUGUAUGCAUUUUUUCAACCUGGUGGCAGAUGUUUACAAGCACGUGUGAAUAUAUCCUGUUGUAGACAAUGCAAUGGUUUUGUGGGUGGUGCAGCUAUGGUACAUGAUAUUGACUACAAGCACGUGCGUGGAUGUCAUGUUGUAGAUUUCACAGUGGUUAAGUGGAUGCUGCAACUUGAUCCUUUUUCUAAGUAUUUCUGGAGCGUAGGAAUGUGCAUUCAACUUCUGGCUAUGGUGAAAGUAAAACUCGAAGUAUCGGACAAGAAACUCAAACCUAUUCGAUGAGAAACGCAGGCUAUCAGACGAGGAACCCGAACUAUCCGACAAGAAGCAGUUUCCUGUACCAUACACGAAGAAACAUUUAGUUGAUGGAAUUACAGUUGUCGUAGAAUUGCCUUACUGGUACUAAAAAGAUGCCGAUAACCAGAGGGGCACUGGUAACCAAUCGAUGUCGCUCAUCAGAGGUGUUCUGGACCCCUUAUAUCAACAUAGUAAUCAACUGUUCUCGACAAGCAGACGACACUUGCUGCUUUUACCAGAUGAAGCCAGUGGCGGAAGAAGGGACCCGAUGCCUGGAGUAACUUUGCAGUUUAAAAUUUUGCACUGUUCGAUUGGUCAAGAUAGUGUGGUUUUAGUGGAAUUCAGCCCUUGAUCGACAUAUCGUCUGUAUUUGCCCUGGCCUGGUGAUGGUAGAGAGCUCUUCCA